rnacentral:rRNA from 1 species
GACGAACGCUAGCGGCGUGCUUAACACAUGCAAGUCGAGCGGUAAGGCCCUUUCGGGGGUACACGAGCGGCGAACGGGUGAGUAACACGUGGGUGACCUGCCCUUAGCUCUGGGAUAAGCCUGGGAAACUGGGUCUAAUACCGGAUAUGACUCCAUGACGCAUGUUGUGGGGUGGAAAGCCUUGUGCGGCUAGGGAUGGGCCCGCGGCCUAUCAGCUUGUUGGUGGGGUGAUGGCCUACCAAGGCGACGACGGGUAGCCGGCCUGAGAGGGCGACCGGCCACACUGGGACUGAGACACGGCCCAGACUCCUACGGGAGGCAGCAGUGGGGAAUCUUGCGCAAUGGGCGAAAGCCUGACGCAGCGACGCCGCGUGAGGGAUGACGGCCU